UUUAUGGAGAGUUUGAUCCUGGCUCAGGAUGAACGCUGGCGGCGUGCCUAAUACAUGCAAGUCGAGCGAACGGACGAGAAGCUUGCUUCUCUGAUGUUAGCGGCGGACGGGUGAGUAACACGUGGAUAACCUACCUAUAAGACUGGGAUAACUUCGGGAAACCGGAGCUAAUACCGGAUAAUAUUUUGAACCGCAUGGUUCAAAAGUGAAAGACGGUCUUGCUGUCACUUAUAGAUGGAUCCGCGCUGCAUUAGCUAGUUGGUAAGGUAACGGCUUACCAAGGCAACGAUGCAUAGCCGACCUGAGAGGGUGAUCGGCCACACUGGAACUGAGACACGGUCCAGACUCCUACGGGAGGCAGCAGUAGGGAAUCUUCCGCAAUGGGCGAAAGCCUGACGGAGC
rnacentral:rRNA from 1 species